UACGUAGGUGACAAGCGUUGUCCGGAUUUACUGGGCGUAAAGAGCGCGCAGGCGGUCGUUCAAGUCGAGUGUGAAAGCCCCCGGCUCAACUGGGGAGGGUCAUUCGAUACUGAUCGACUCGAAGGCAGGAGAGGGAAGUGGAAUUCCGGGUGUAGUGGUGAAAUGCGUAGAUAUCCGGAGGAACACCAGUGGCGAAGGCGACUUUCUGGCCUGUUCUUGACGCUGAGGCGCGAAAGCUAGGGGAGCAAACGGG
rnacentral:rRNA from 1 species